AGUGAACGCUGGCGGUAGGCCUAACACAUGCAAGUCGAACGGCAGCACAGUAAGAGCUUGCUCUUACGGGUGGCGAGUGGCGGACGGGUGAGGAAUACAUCGGAAUCUACUUUUUCGUGGGGGAUAACGUAGGGAAACUUACGCUAAUACCGCAUACGACCUACGGGUGAAAGCAGGGGAUCUUCGGACCUUGCGCGAUUGAAUGAGCCGAUGUCGGAUUAGCUAGUUGGCGGGGUAAAAGCCCACCAAGGCGACGAUCCGUAGCUGGACUGAGAGGAGGAUCAGCCACACGGGAACUGAGCCAGCGACCAGGCUACUACGGGAGGCAGCAGUGUGGAAUGUGGGACAACGGUCGCAAACAUUAUCCAGCCAUACCGCGUGGGUGAAGAAGGCGUUCGGGUUGUAAAGCCCUUUUGUUGGGAAAGAAAAGCAGCAGGUUAAUACCCAGCUGUUCUGACGGUACCCAAAGAAGAAGCACCGGCUAACUUCGUG
rnacentral:rRNA from 1 species